GGGAUAUUAAACUACUCUAACUUUUUUGAGUUGAGCUGGAAUGGCUAGAUAGAAUAAGACUGAAAAAGAAAGCUUGGAAGUUUGUCCUGUGAAGCCAUUAGAACCUCCUGGCAGAUGACAAAAUAUAUUUGGAUACGGAUGUCUCCAGGACGUUAGUGCCAAGGCUCCAGAGAACGCGCGACUGCAUCAGCUUGAAUGCCUGCUUCUGACUCCUCUGGACACCGUCAGAGAUCUUAGAACUCAUCUCUUUAACAUGGGAUCCAUGCCCAGGACCAGAUCCCUGACUUCUCUAUAAACUACCAGUGCUGUGACACUGCAGCAACCCUCAGCUAACAGAAGCAUGAAAGGGCUCAAGCAGAACCAAACCCAGAUUUGGGAUUUCUGCUUUUGCAUCUUCCUCAUUCUCUCUUCGCCUGCUGCCAUCCAUGUAAGACAUGAUUGUGAGACUUCCCCAGCCACAUGGACCUGAGGGAUGUUCUCCAUCUUAAAAAUCCUAAAUCAAAACUAUAUAAUCGAACAAGCUGUUCACUUAAAAAUUCAAUUAUCAAAAUGGCUCAAAAACCAAGAGCAUGUUUCUUCAAGGAAAAUGUAGCUUCCUGUAGCUUCUGGAAACCAGUAUGGAAACAUGGAAGCUAAAGCAAGUAUUUCUUUAACUGCUGAACACCCAAAACCACAUUAUGUCAAGAGGAUGGUUUUCCUAAUCAUCAUCCAAUAUGAAAAUAACAUUACCGUAACACAACCCACAUAGGUGGGUGUGUGCUGCUUCUGGCUACAGAUUUCUACGUGGAGAUGCCAUGGAGGCCGAUCUACAAAAUGCAGAUGUGUCAACAGAAGGCAUAAAUGAUGGAUACAAAUGACUCUUCAAUGGAAAUUUUAUGUCAUAAAAAUGGCAAAAAUGAAAGUGAUGCAUCAGGGUAUAAGCUGAAAGCACAAUAGAAGAUGCCAAGCCAAAACAAGAACCAGAAGAUGUCGAGGGAAUGAUUCCAAAGAACUUGCCAUGGGUUUCAAUAGAGAAUCCUGGUGAUGACUGAUUUUGUUUGUAUCAUCAAGGCUUCCCAGUAAAUUCACAUUACAUAUAUAUUUUAUUAUUUCUUAAUGAUUUUUGCCAUUCUUUAAAAAAAGAGAAUGCAUUGCAAAACCUAAUUUAGGACAUAAAAGUUAAUAAAUUGUUUGUUUAAAUUCA
rnacentral:lncRNA from 13 species